rnacentral:rRNA from 1 species
AUUGAACGCUGGCGGCAGGCCUAACACAUGCAAGUCGAACGAGUGGCGGACGGGUGAGUAGUGUCUGGGAAACUGCCUGAUGGAGGGGGAUAACUACUGGAAACGGUAGCUAAUACCGCAUACCAUCAGAUGUGCCCAGAUGGGAUUAGCUAGUGGGUGGGGUAACGGCUCACCAAGGCGACGAUCCCUAGCUGGUCUGAGAGGUUGACCAGCCACACUGGAACUGAGACACGUGCCAGACGCCUACGGGAGGCAGCAGUGGGGAAUAUUGCACAAUGGGCGAAAGCCUGAUGCAGCCAAGCCGCGUGUAUGAAGAAGGCCUUCGGGUUGUAAAAUACUUUCGGCGGGGAGGCGUUACCCGAAGAAGAAGCACCGGCUAACUCCGUGCCAGCAGCCGCGGUAAUUC